UACGAAGGGGGCUAGCGUUGUUCGGAAUUACUGGGCGUAAAGCGCACGUAGGCGGAUCGUUAAGUCAGGGGUGAAAUCCUGGAGCUCAACUCCAGAACUGCCUUUGAUACUGGCGAUCUUGAGUCCGGAAGAGGUGAGUGGAACUCCUAGUGUAGAGGUGGAAUUCGUAGAUAUUAGGAAGAACACCAGUGGCGAAGGCGGCUCACUGGUCCGGUACUGACGCUGAGGUGCGAAAGCGUGGGGAGCAAACAGG
rnacentral:rRNA from 1 species